AGUGAACGCUGGCGGUAUGCCUAACACAUGCAAGUCGAACGGCAGCACAGUAAGAGUUUGCUUUUACGGGUGGCGAGUGGCGGAUGGGUGAGGAAUACAUCGGAAUCUUCUUUUUCUUGGGUGAUAACGUAGGGCAACUGACGCUAAUACCUCAUACGAUCUACGGCUGAAAGCAGGAGAUCUUCGGACCUUUCGCGAUUGUAUGAGCUGAUGUCGGAUUAGCUAGUUGGCGAGGUAAAGGCCCACCAAGGCGACGAUCCGUAGCCGGACUGAGAGGAUGAUCGGCCACACUGGAACUGAGACACGGUCCAGACUCCUACGGGAGGCAGCAGUAGGGAAUCUUGGGCAAUGGGCGAAAGCCUGACCCAGCAAUGCCGCGUGAGUGAAGAAGGCCUUCGGAUCGUAAAACCCUUUUGUUAGGGAAGAAAAACAGCGGAAUUAACUAUGGAUGUUCUGACGGUACCCAAAGAAAAAGCACCGGCUAACUUCGUG
rnacentral:rRNA from 1 species